rnacentral:rRNA from 1 species
AUUGAACGCUGGCGGCAGGCUUAACACAUGCAAGUCGAGCGAGCGGCGGACGGGUGAGUAAUGUCUGGGAAACUGCCUGAUGGAGGGGGAUAACUACUGGAAACUGUAGCUAAUACCGCAUACCAUCAAAUGUGCCCAGAUGGGAUUAGCUAGGAGGUGGGGUAAUGGCUCACCUAGGCGACGAUCCCUAGCUGGUCUGAGAGGGUGACCAGCCACACUGGAACGGAGACACGGUCCAGACACCAACGAGAGGCAGCAGUGGGGAAUAUUGCACAAUGGGGGGAAGCCUAAUACAGGCAUGCCGCGUGUGUGAAGAAGGCAUUCGGGUUGUAAAGCAAUUGCAGCGAGGAGGCGUUACUCGCAGAAGAAGCAACGGCUAACUCCGUGCCAGCAGCCGCGGUAAUUC